rnacentral:rRNA from 1 species
AAGUCGUAACAAGGUUUCCGUAGGUGACCUGCGGAAGGUCAUUAUCCAUCUCAACCAGGAGUGGUGGCGGCCAGGCAUUGCGUCCUCGGUUCAGCCCCGCUUUCCUGCAUCCUUUUUUUACGAGCACCUUUCGUUCUCCUUCGGCGGGGCAACCUGCCGCUGGAACUUAACAAAACCUUUUUUUGCAUCUAGCAUUACCUGUUCUGAUACAAACAAUCGUUACAACUUUCAACAAUGGAUCUCUUGGCUCUGGCAUCGAUGAAGAACGCAGCGAAAUGCGAUAAGUAGUGUGAAUUGCAGAAUUCAGUGAAUCAUCGAAUCUUUGAACGCACAUUGCGCCCCUUGGUAUUCCAUGGGGCAUGCCUGUUCGAGCGUCAUCUACACCCUCAAGCUCUGCUUGGUGUUGGGCGUCUGUCCCGCCUCUGCGCGCGGACUCGCCCCAAAUUCAUUGGCAGCGGUCUUUGCCUCCUCUCGCGCAGCACAAUUGCGUCUGCGAGGGGGCGUGGCCCGCGUCCACGAAGCAACAUUACCGUCUUUGACCUCGGAUCAGGUAGGGAUACCCGCUGAACUUAAGCAUAUCAAUAAGCGGAGGAAAAGAAACCAACAGGGAUUGCCCUAGUAACGGCGAGUGAAGCGGCAACAGCUCAAAUUUGAAAUCUGGCUCCCCUUGGGGGUCCGAGUUGUAAUUUGCAGAGGAUGCUUUGGCAUUGACGGCGGUCUAAGUUCCUUGGAACAGGACAUCACAGAGGGUGAGAAUCCCGUACGUGGUCGCCUGUCCUUGCCAUGUAAAGCUCCUUCGACGAGUCGAGUUGUUUGGGAAUGCAGCUCUAAAUGGGAGGUAAAUUUCUUCUAAAGCUAAAUACCGGCCAGAGACCGAUAGCGCACAAGUAGAGUGAUCGAAAGAUGAAAAGUACUUUGGAAAGAGAGUCAAAAAGCACGUGAAAUUGUUGAAAGGGAAGCGCUUGCAGCCAGACUUGCCCGCAGUUGCUCACCUAGGCUUUCGCCUGGGGCACUCUUCUGCGGGCAGGCCAGCAUCAGUUUGGGCGGUUGGAUAAAGGCCUCUGUCACGUAUCUCCCUUCGGGGUGACCUUAUAGGGGAGGCGCAAUGCAACCAGCCCGGACUGAGGUCCGCGCAUCUGCUAGGAUGCUGGCGUAAUG